rnacentral:pre_miRNA from 1 species
AGGGGAAUAGCUGAGUCAAAUGGUAAAUCCAUUCCAAAUUUUCUAAGGAAUCUCCAUACUGCUUUCCAGAGUGGUUGCACCAAUUUGCAAUCCCAGCAGCAAU